UUAACUAGUGGAAUCUGAAGGAAGUUGGAGGCAAAAUUCCGACCCAAGGAACACGAACAUCAUCAGGCAUGGCAUGGGAUAUGGGAUGAGUUAACGUUACAAAACGAAGUCCAAUCAACUACACGGUCAUACCAUUGUAAAUGAUGUGGGUACAUGGUAGGAAAGUAAAUCGC
rfam:Paenibacillus sp. Soil787 contig_29, whole genome shotgun sequence.